rnacentral:rRNA from 1 species
CUGCAAGUCGAACGAGAAAGUGGGGGCAACCCCGCGAGUAAAGUGGCAGACGGGUGAGUAACACGUGAAUAACCCACUCCCCAGUACGGGAUAACCCCGCGAAAGCUGGGCUAAUACCGCAUAACAUCCCCGGGUCGCAUGAUCUGGGGAUCAAAGGCUUCGGUCGCUGGGGGAGGGGUUCACGCCUGAUUAGCUAGUUGGUGAGGUAACGGCCCACCAAGGCAACGAUCAGUAGCCGGCCUGAGAGGGCGAACGGCCACACUGGAACUGAGACACGGUCCAGACUCCUACGGGAGGCAGCAGUGGGGAAUCUUGCGCAAUGGGGGAAACCUUGACGCAGCAACGCCGCGUGGGUGAUGAAGGCCUUCGGGUCGUAAAGCCCUGUCAGGUGGGAAGAAUCCCCGCAAGGGGUUGACG